AUUGAACGCUGGCGGCAGGCCUAACACAUGCAAGUCGAACGGUAGCACAGAGAGCUUGCUCCCGGGUGACGAGUGGCGGACGGGUGAGUAAUGUCUGGGAAACUGCCUGAUGGAGGGGGAUAACUACUGGAAACGGUAGCUAAUACCGCAUAACGUCGCAAGACCAAAGCGGGGGACCUUCGGGCCUCUUGCCAUCAGAUGUUCCCAGAUGGGAUUAGCGAGCAGGUGGGGUAACGGCUCACCUAGGCGACGCUCCCUAGCUGGGCUGAGAGGAUGACCAGCCACACUGGAACUGAGACACGGUCCAGACUCCUACGGGAGGCAGCAGUGGGGAAUAUUGCACAAUGGGCGCAAGCCUGAUGCAGCCAUGCCGCGUGUAUGAAGAAGGCCUUCGGGUUGUAAAGUACUUUCAGCGGGGAGGAAGGUGUUGUGGUUAAUAACCGCAGCAAUUGACGUUACCCGCAGAAGAAGCACCGGCUAACUACGUGCCAGCCGCCGCAGUAACAC
rnacentral:rRNA from 1 species